rnacentral:sRNA from 1 species
AGGGGCCGUUUCAUCGGGAUUUCAAAGAUGUCGCACCCCUUGUUCACGGCGCGCGAAAGUUAAUCCACAGAACAUACACAGAACUCGUGAGUGAACGGGGCGUGCGGUGUCAGUUGAGCCCAUGGCCGGCGCAGGGAAAAUCCUCUCCCCGUGGGAGAGGUGUCGGCGAAGCCGACGGAGAGGGGAUAGGCGGGCGUGCGAAGCCCUUCCCCCUCCGGUCGCUUCGCGACCACCUCCCCCGC